rnacentral:rRNA from 1 species
AAUCAACGCUGGCGGCGUGCCUAACACAUGCAAGUCGAACGCGAAAGUCCCGCAAGGGAUCGGUAGAGUGGCAAACGGGUGAGUAACACGUGGGUGACCUGCCUUCGAGUGGGGGAGUAACGUCCCGAAGGGACGCUAAUACCGCAUAACAUGCUGCCUUUUAAGUAGGUGGACAGCAAAGCUGGGGGAGUCGCAAGACCUAGCGCUUGAAGAGGGGCCCGCGUCCGAUUAGCUAGUUGGGGGGUAACGGCUCACCAAGGCAACGAUCGGUAGCCGGCCUGAGAGGGCGGGACGGCCACACUGGGACUGAGACACGGCCCAGACUCCUACGGGAGGCAGCAGUGGGGAAUUGUUCGCAAUGGGCGCAAGCCUGACGACGCAACGCCGCGUGGAGGAUGAAGAUCUUCGGGUCGGUAAACUCCUUUCGAUCGAGACGAACGGCCUCCGGGUGAACAAUCCGGGGGNGUGACGGUACCGAGAGAGGAGCCCGGCUAACUCCGUGCCAGCCGCCGCCGU